rnacentral:rRNA from 1 species
CCAUGCCGCGUGUGUGAAGAAGGCCUUCGGGUUGUAAAGCACUUUCAGUCGUGAGGAAGGUAGUGUAGUUAAUAGCUGCAUUAYUUGACGUUAGCGACAGAAGAAGCACCGGCUAACUCCGUGCCAGCAGCCGCGGUAAUACGGAGGGUGCGAGCGUUAAUCGGAAUUACUGGGCGUAAAGCGCAUGCAGGUGGUUUGUUAAGUCAGAUGUGAAAGCCCGGGGCUCAACCUCGGAAUAGCAUUUGAAACUGGCAGACUAGAGUACUGUAGAGGGGGGUAGAAUUUCAGGUGUAGCGGUGAAAUGCGUAGAGAUCUGAAGGAAUACCGGUGGCGAAGGCGGCCCCCUGGACAGAUACUGACACUCAGAUGCGAAAGCGUGGGGAGCAAACAGGAUUAGAUACCCUGGUAGUCCACGCCGUAAACGAUGUCUACUUGGAGGUUGUGGCCUUGAGCCGUGGCUUUYGGAGCUAACGCGUUAAGUAGACCGCCUGGGGAGUACGGUCGCAAGAUUAAAACUCAAAUGAAUUGACGGGGGCCCGCACAAGCGGUGGAGCAUGUGGUUUAAUUCGAUGCAACGCGAAGAACCUUACCUACUCUUGACAUCCAGA